AGGAAGGAGGGGGAUGAGCAGGCAGCCAAGGACAGCCAUGGAAGGAGGGAAGCAGAGAAAAAUGCUGCAUGCUCGGUCUCUGUCCAGGAGUAAAGACAAGUGUUGAGGCUGAGUAGAAUGUACUCAACUCUUGCAAAGGGGAUAGAGGAUAAAAUUUAGGACCAGUAAGACCCCAAUGGCUUGUGUUGACAGGUUGCUGGGGACACAUAGGCACAAGGCAAUGACUGGAACCACAGGACACUGGUGAAGACACACAUGAACUCAAGAUACCACACGCACUGCAGGUCAUAGAAUGCAGCACAGGUACACAGGCAUCCCUGCCAGGGUCUUGUUAUGGACAAUGCAAAUUCUGGAGAAGUAGGCCAAGAAUCAAAUAUAUUUUCACAUCAGCCUCUUUUGAUCUUCCUAAGGAUUAACCCAUCACCAUCACACAGACACACAUGCAGACAGACAUCAAAACCAAAAGAAGCAGGACUAAUUAAUAAGAUGUACAACAAAUCUUGAUAAAAUGUACUCAGAUUUCUUCCUUGCUUGAGAUAAUAUCUAUUAUCAGAUAUAGAGCAUACAAACUGAUCCGGUGGAACGCCAAAUUAUAACAUAAAAAAUGACACAGAUUUAUGCAAGAAUGAUGACUGCAAAGCACAUUGCAUCAGUACUAUAAGAAGUUGAAAAUUGCUGCUGUUGUAGAUGUCAUAGGCGUGUUAUUUUCUUUGGUAUGUGUACAGGAUAUGCUGUCAGGCUUUUAUCAUGCAAACUAUUUUUAUGAGCUUUACCUCUCUCUCUUCCUGCUAAAUAUAGAAGAUCACUGCAUCUGACUGUUAUUAAGUGUGCUUAAAAUAUUCCUUAACAAACUUGGUUGAUUUACACUUUGAUAUAAAACAUUGGUUGUUUUCCUGUCUCGCAGGAAUGGAUAAUGCAAUAAAUAUAAUACAUUACAGAUUGUUAGGCAUUUUAAGAUCUACUGGUAGAAAAUGCUAUA